rnacentral:rRNA from 1 species
GAACGCUGGCGGCGUGCUUAACACAUGCAAGUCGAGCGGAAAGGCCCUUCGGGGUACUCGAGCGGCGAACGGGUGAGUAACACGUGAGUAACCUGCCCCAGGCUUUGGGAUAACCCUCGGAAACGGGGGCUAAUACCGGAUAUUCAUGCGGUGUGGCAUCACAUUGUGUGGAAAGUUUUUCGGCGUGGGAUGGGCUCGCGGCCUAUCAGCUUGUUGGUGGGGUGAUGGCCUACCAAGGCGACGACGGGUAGCCGGCCUGAGAGGGCGACCGGCCACACUGGGACUGAGACACGGCCCAGACUCCUACGGGAGGCAGCAGUGGGGAAUAUUGCACAAUGGGCGGAAGCCUGAUGCAGCGACGCCGCGUGAGGGAUGAAGGCCUUCGGGUUGUAAACCUCUUUCGACAGGGACGAAGCGUGAGUGACGGUACCUGGAGAAGAAGCGCCGGCCAACUACGUGCCAGCAGCCGCGGUAAGACGUAGGGCGCGAGCGUUGUCCGGAUUUAUUGGGCGUAAAGAGCUCGUAGGCGG